rnacentral:sRNA from 10 species
UGAUACCAGGGUCAAAAGGUCUAAACCCACAUGAGCUUGCUCAUAGGUGGGUGAAAGACCUUGGGACCCGCCCCGAUAUGAGCAUAAAAGUGGGAUGAUAAUCCCAUGAUAUGCGAAUAUUGGGGAGAAUUGCGGGAGUGCGUAGCACGGAGUAAUUCGUAGGUAUCA